GAAGAUCUGAUUACCAGUAGCUAGAUAAAGAACCCCGGCAGUACCAUUGUGCCUUGUGGUGGUUAAGUUGCCACAGUUGCAGCUCGUCAAUUUGGACAUGGCCUUGGGGUGGAGUAUAGGUCAGCACCUGACCAUGUUAUGCGAGCACUGUUUCAAGGCUUGGUUCUUGCUCCGCAAAUUGUUGGAGAGGCCGUUUCUAGUGAAGAUCAUGUCAGCCAAGGGCUAUAGAAUUCAACCACUUUUCAAGGGUUCCAUGCCAUGAAACUGUGCAGGGAGGAACACAUUGGACAGUGGACUCUUGUCCUGGGUGAAGUUUCUCAUGGUCAUGUAGCUGUUUGUUACCAGAAUACUUCCCAUUUCUAGGAUGGGUAGGCUCUUCGUUAACUACGACUGAUUAGUGAGUACUUGUUGAUUGACGGGAAUCAUCAGGAACCAUCAUUCUCAUAAAAUUAAUUUUGUUGAACCGACGAGUGAUUUCAAAUAACAAAGAUUUUUCAACGAUGUGAAGAAUUCAACAGGCUGCACCGAUUGAUUGGCAUAGUAACUUCAAGCCCAUCAUUCAUGUUGGAUAGCUUCGGCCUUUCGACUUGCCAGUUCAUUACAGAUUAGUUAGAAAUGCUUUGGAAUUAAUGUACCUGUUGUAUGAGUGUGCCAAUCAAGAAGAGACAGAUGGCCGCCACAGCACUUCAUCUGGGAGGAUUCCUUUUUAUGUUUUUAUUAUUACAGAUCUUGUCACUUAAUAGUCCAGAUCAGUUUGUAGAGUCUGCUCAUGAACACUUCAGAGAAAAAGUUGUUACUUCUCAUGAAGAUUCUUGUAGUGAGUCGAUUUCUGGUCAUAAAUUACUUGAUUUUCCUGGUCAAAGAUAAUUAUCUUUGUCUAUUAUUUUGUCAUUAUGGUUAGUUUCGCAGCUUUCUCUUAAGAGAUGAAUGUACCUAUUUGUGCAAAUAGAAGUAUAAAACUCAGCGUAAACACCGUGUGCCGUGCGUAUGACUUCU